ACGGGGUGUUAGGGCACGACACCGGAGAGGGAGCCUGAGAAACGGCUACCACAUCCAAGGAUGGCAGCAGGCGCGCAAAUUACCCAAUCCCGACACGGGGAGGUAGUGACAAUAAAUAACAAUACGGGGUUCUUUAGGAUCUCGUAAUUGGAAUGAGUACAAUUUAAAUCUCUUAACGAGGAACAAUUGGAGGGCAAGUCUGGUGCCAGCAGCCGCGGUAAUUCCAGCUCCAAUAGCGUAUAUUAAAGUUGUUGCAGUUAAAAAGCUCGUAGUUGAAUUUCGAGACCGGCUUACUGGUCGUGCUAUUGUGCGUACUGGUAUAAUCGGUUUCUCCUUUCUGACGAACUAUAAUGCCAUUAAUUUGGUGUUAUAGGGAAUCAGGACUGUUACUUUGAAAAAAUUAGAGUGUUUAAAGCAGGCUCACGCUUGAAUACAUUAGCAUGGAAUAACGGAAUACGACGUUUGAUUCUAUUUUGUUGGUUUCUAGGAUCGACGUAAUGAUUAAUAGGGAUAGUUGGGGGCAUUAGUAUUCAAUUGUCAGAGGUGAAAUUCUUGGAUUUAUUGAAGACUAACUACUGCGAAAGCAUUUGCCAAGGAUGUUUUCAUUAAUCAAGAACGAAAGUUAGGGGAUCGAAGACGAUCAGAUACCGUCGUAGUCUUAACCAUAAACUAUGCCGACUAGGGAUCGGAUGAU
rnacentral:rRNA from 1 species